CCGGGAGUUGAGGGAGCGCGGACACCCCGGGGAAGAGGUCGUAAGUCUCCGGGUCUGAAGCCGGUGGAGAGAAGGAAUGUAUUGCUUCCUUCAUCAGGAAAACUUGAGGUGGCAUGCAAAAAUACAUAGGCCACAGAUAUUUUAAAAAUAUGAAGAAAUCCAGUCAAAGGGAGAAAAUACAGGUGAAGGCUGAAGCCCAGUGGAUGAGAAGAUGGAGAGCCUGGCUACAGUUUGGUCAAGGAGAGAAUCUUUCUCAGGAGCAGGCAUUGUUCUACAUUUUUUUUUACAUGUUAUCCCAUUUACUGUUCACAAAAUCCCUGUGAGGUGGGUGAUGAUGUUGUCCGCACUUUAUAGAUGAGGACACUGCAGUGCAGAGAUAUUAACAAGUUUAUAUGGAUGGUAAGGGUCAAGAAUUAAAUCCAGGCAUCCUGACAGCACAGCUGAAACUAAUAUUUUAAUAAUUAAUUAUUGGCAUUAUAAGGAUAGGGCUGCCUCUGUGGAUUUGGGAUCUCACCUAAAAGGUGAGAUUAUUUAUUGCAUCAGUCACCAGAGAAUAGAAUCGUGUCUCUCAGAGGAAACAGAAGAGGGGCAGAGAAACUUCAUUGUCCAGGGGAUUCAGCUCUCUUGGCCUUAUUCAAAAAGUUGGCAAGCUCUUGAUAAGGGAGCUUGUGGCAUGGGUGGGGGGAGGUGGCCUAUAAGAUGUCCUCUGCAUGGACCCGGGCCAGGAACCAAGAAAUGAGGAAUUCAGGUAUGGUGUCUGGAGGCUAUGCCAAUCUACUAGGACUAGAGCUGAAAUAGCUCAGAUCAUGUGCAGAAUGCAGUGGUGAGGGACAGAACAUGGGGGCUCAGCUCUUUGUAUUUUAUUGUCUGAUGGUUAUUUGUUUCCCUUUCAUUCUUAUCUGGUAUUUAGUAAGGACAUUCGGAAAGCAAAUCUGGGGACUAUCCCUCACCAAGUAGGAGAAUCAUGUGGGAGAAUAAAAAGCCUGCUUGGGAGUCUGGGCUCUAAGCAGAGCUGAUUUUCCAGAGGCAUAUAUGUUUUCUUGAAGUUGUCCAACAUCAUUUUGUGAUUCUAGGCUCUUGGUUCACAGUCUAUAAGGGAACAGCUACUCCCAGCAAACAAACAGAAAAGGAAAAAUUUCCCCAGUGUUUUUCUUCCUUCUCUCUGUUGAUGUUUAUGUGUUAUUUCCAGGCAGAGGGCAAGACGCAGCAGAUUUCCUUUAUCCCUAGUGCAGCUUCUAAAAUUCCCCCCUCAC